rnacentral:lncRNA from 1 species
CCAAAUUUUUUCCCUUUUUCCAUUUUUCCUUUCUCUUCUUUCUCUCUUCUCCCCUGUUUCUUUCGUUCCCCUGUUUCUGCCCGUGCUCCUCUUUCUCUCUAUCUUUCUCUCUUUUUAAAGCUCAGCCGAAGGUUCCACGGUUCUCUUCAGCCUCCCUUUUUUGACUUUUCAAACUCUUUCUUUUCCUUUUAUUUUAUUAAAGAGCCC